GGGGGCGACCUGGUUUCGACAGGGGUUGCAAAGCAGCGCAGGGCAUACCGAGGGCUGGUCACCUCGUAAAUACAACCAGAAAAAAUGUAACUGCAAACGAUAACUCGUACGCACUAGCAGCUUAAUUGCUGUCUAGCUCUACACCAUCUCUUCCCUGGGGUGGGCUGGCAACAGCAGUAGAGUCAUUUACAGGGAAUCGUCUUGGACCGGGCCACUUGGUUCUUGACUAAAUAAUAGGUGACUCGUCUUGCCAGAGCGUGUGCGUCCGCGCUGGCUGGAUUAAAUCAAAUGGCAGCACUAAGUAUGUAGAACUGUCUGUAGAGUACUUCUGGACGCGGGUUCGAUUCCCGCCGCCUCCACCA
rnacentral:tmRNA from 1 species